rnacentral:lncRNA from 1 species
CACUUUUGUUCAGUGCCUGACCUCCCUCUCCUCACGGAGCCAGAGUGAGCCUAAGGCUGCUGGCAGGAAGUAAAUUUGGUGGGUUGUCAACCUACCCAUGUGGAUGCAAUUAAAACCUCACCCAGUGUGCAUCAAUCCAGCCUAAAGCGGCCAGUAUGUGGUGACAGGCUACCCAGGGAGGGAGGAGACGAGCAAGCUGAGGAGGCUUCAUGCUAACCUGAUAGAAUGGGGUAGGGGGAAAAAUGAUGUCACUUUGUUCUACAUCCAUCUGGAGGUGGAGGUCACCAUGUCACCUUGGAAGCUUCCUGACUAUGAAAUUGCCAUGGAAACUCCUCUGGCCUACUUCCUUUGGAGAUAGCCUCUGGCCCUUCUACCUCAGUUUGAGCUCCCUAUUGAACACAUUUUCUUUAUAUACAGUUCUUUAUAGGUAUAGCCAAGGAAUCUGUGGAUCUUUACCCUUCAAGCUGCUAUAUCCUAGGACAGCAUUGGCCAACCUUUUCAGAGUUUGAGUAUCCAGAGGACAAAUUCAAGCUAUCUGCUUGCCAUCAUUAUCAAGGGAAAGAAUGGAUUAAACCCUGAAGUUACUCAGAUGCAAGCUAUUAUCAUCUCUUGAAAACAAAGUACAGCUGAAUUAGCAUCCUAUAAGUCCCUAGCCUUCCAGUACUUGGAAGAAGGAUGAGGAUGAUGAUAACAGAAACACUCUCACCUUUUUUUACAAGUAAGUUUUACAUCUCUUCCCCAGUCCCAUGCAGCUGAAUCUUACCUUGUAACCAAGAACAGUUGAGCAAAAACAACCAAAACAGUGACUCAUCUCAUAAUAAACGCAAUGGUCUAUCCUUGUACUUUGUUGCA